CCUCACUCAGGGAUUCAUACUGCAGCUCUUGGUCCGUCCUGCAGAGGGUCAGCUCAUCAAGGACGCGCCGCAACCCGUUGAUGUCUGCCUCUACAUUUUGGUGAAGGCUCAGCGUUGACCUCCUCCAGAGCUUUCACGUUAUCCAGAUACCUGAAGCUGACUAUUUUAUAAAGAAAAGACAUCUAUCCAAUUGACAGUUUUGGAAGUUGAGAGUCCAAGUUUGGGCAGAACCAUCUUUUCAGCUUCUG